UAAAGAUGUCAUUAUCAAAGGGCCUGACAAGUGAUGUGGCCUGCCCUGGGUCACAGUGGAUGGGGGAAUGGACUGUGGGGAGCACCCUAAUCCUAGCUCCCGAUAAUGGUCUGUUAAUCUUCAACAGCGUUCCAGACACAGAUAAGUACAAAUAGAUAACACGCCAGAAGCAAGAGAAUGUGGAGGAGAGGGACAGCACUGGACAAGAGGAGCCCUAGAGAGAUUCCAUUCUCAACGAGAAAGGCCUCAAAUACACGUGCCAUGGGUGGAAGCUCUCUUACAUAUGCGGACUAGAGAAGUGACAUCCAGCUUCAAUCAAACAGGAUCUCUUGUCCCUUGAGCCCCUGGGCCUGUGCAAAAGCCAAAUGCCUAUUCCAUCAGGAAGAAGUGCCUAAAUUCAACCUAAGUCUUUAUUCUAAGGGUUGGUUUGAUUCAUACCACAUAUCUUAACUACCUUUCUACAACAACCCAAACACACCUUCUAUAAAAGAAUAUGGGUAAGGAAAGAAAGGGAAGAGUUCGCUCUUUUUUUCUGGUUCCUUCUUGACAAAGCAGACAAUGGUGAUGACUGAUUUUCUUGGUUACAGGCUUCCAUCUGUCUGUCUAAAAACCUAUACACCCGCAACUCUGCUUUCAUUGGAUAGAGAGGUGGUUAUCAAAGCAGAGGCUAUUUUUGAUUCUUUGGCCCUGAACUUCUUCAAGUUGUAUUGAUAGAUAAAACUGCAGAUGCUCUGAGAACAAGGACUUCAAGAGGUCAGGCAGACCUUGAAUGAAACAAACACUUGAACUAAAUACAAACGAGACACCACUUAAAAAUUAUCAGAACUCAAAAAUCAGAGACAAGUGGGUAGUUAAUCCUAGAACAAAAGGUUUCUUCGCCU
rnacentral:lncRNA from 1 species